rnacentral:rRNA from 1 species
UACAGAGGGGGCAAGCGUUGUUCGGAAUUACUGGGCGUAAAGGGCGCGUAGGCGGCCUGCUAAGUCGAACGUGAAAUCCCCGGGCUCAACCCGGGAACUGCGUCCGAUACUGGUAGGCUUGAAUUCGGGAGAGGGAUGCGGAAUUCCAGGUGUAGCGGUGAAAUGCGUAGAUAUCUGGAGGAACACCGGUGGCGAAGGCGGGUCUCUGGGCCGAUACUGACGCUGAGGAGCGAAAGCGUGGGGAGCGAACAGG